rnacentral:rRNA from 1 species
CCUACGGGUGGCAGCAGUGAGGAAUAUUGGUCAAUGGACGGAAGCCUGAACCAGCCAAGCCGCGUGCGGGAUGAAGGUUCUAUGAGUUGUAAACUGCUUUUGUAAGGGGGUAAAGUUGCAGACGUGUCCUGCGUUGAAUGUACUUUACGAAUAAGGAUCGGCUAACUCCGUGCCAGCAGCCGCGGUAAUACGGAGGAUCCAAGCGUUAUCCGGAUUUAUUGGGUUUAAAGGGUGCGUAGGCGGAUUGUUAAGUCAGCGGUGAAAUUUCCGGGCUCAACGCGGGAACUGCCUUUAAUACUGGUGAUCUAGAGUGUGUGUGAGGUAGGCGGAAUGCAUGGUGUAGCGGUGAAAUGCGUAGAUAUCAGGCAGAACACCGAUUGCGAAGGCAGCUUGCCAAGCCAUAACUGACGCUGAGGCACGAAAGCGUGGGGAGCAAACAGGAUUAGAUACCCGGGUAGUC